UGGGGAAUAUUGCACAAUGGAGGAAACUCUGAUGCAGCGACGCCGCGUGAGUGAAGAAGUAAUUCGUUAUGUAAAGCUCUAUCAGCAGGGAAGAUAGUGACGGUACCUGACUAAGAAGCUCCGGCUAAAUACGUGCCAGCAGCCGCGGUAAUACGUAUGGAGCAAGCGUUAUCCGGAUUUACUGGGUGUAAAGGGAGUGUAGGUGGCCAUGCAAGUCAGAAGUGAAAAUCCGGGGCUCAACCCCGGAACUGCAUUUGAAACUGUAUGUCUUGAGUGCCGGAGAGGUAAUCGGAAUUCCUUGUGUAGCGGUGAAAUGCGUAGAUAUAAGGAAGAACACCAGUGGCGAAGGCGGAUUACUGGACGGUAACUGACGGUGAGGCGCGAAAGCGUGGGGAGCGAACAGGAUUAGAUACCCUGGUAGUCCACGCUGUAAACGAUGGAUACUAGGUGUGCGGGGACUGACCCCCUGCGUGCCGCAGUUAACACAAUAAGUAUCCCACCUGGGGAGUACGAUCGCAAGGUUGAAACUCAAAGGAAUUGACGGGGGCCCGCACAAGCGGUGGAUUAUGCGGUUUAAUUCGAAGCAACGCGAAGAACCUUACCAAGUCUUGACAUCCCGAUGACAGAGUAUGUAAUGUACUUUCUCUUCGGAGCAUCGGUGACAGGUGGUGCAUGGUUGUCGUCAGCUCGUGUCGUGAGAUGUUGGGUUAAGUCCCGCAACGAGCGCAACCCCUGUUCUUAGUAGCCAGCGGUUCGGCCGGGCACUCUAGGGAGACUGCCAGGGAUAACCUGGAGGAAGGCGGGGAUGACGUCAAAUCAUCAUGCCCCUUAUGACUUGGGCUACACACGUGCUACAAUGGCGUAAACAAAGGGAAGCAAAGCCGUGAGGCCGAGCAAAUCUCAAAAAUAACGUCUCAGUUCGGACUGUAGUCUGCAACCCGACUACACGAAGUCGGAAUUGCUAGUAAUCGUGGAUCAGCAUGCCACGGUGAAUACGUUCCC
rnacentral:rRNA from 1 species